AAAGUUGGGUCGCCGCCAUGUUCAUCUGAAGGCCCACAGAGUGUUGCAUGAUUACAAAACUGAAUUUGUUCUGCAUAAAACAUAUCGACGGGCCGCACUUUGGGAAUCCCUCUUUUAAACUUGGACAUCUGACACCAAAAUACAUUCGCGCUUCGUACUUCUCGCUGUGAGAAUCCGAAAUC